rnacentral:rRNA from 1 species
UACGAAGGGGGCUAGCGUUGUUCGGAAUUACUGGCGUAAGACGCACGUAGGCGGGUUAUUAAGUCAGGGGUGAAAUCCCAGAGCUCAACUCUGGAACUGCCUUUGAUACUGGUAAUCUCGAGAUCGGAAGAGGUGAGUGGAAUUCCUGGUGUAGCGGUGAAAUGCGUAGAUAUCUGGAGGAACACCGGUGGCGAAGGCGGCAUCCUGGACCAACAUUGACGCUGAGGAGCGAAAGCCAGGGGAGCAAACGGG